GACGAACGCUGGCGGCGUGCUUAACACAUGCAAGUCGAACGGUAAGGCCCUUCGGGGUACACGAGUGGCGAACGGGUGAGUAACGCGUGAGUAACCUGCCCUUCACUCUGGGAUAACAGUUGGAAACGGCUGCUAAUACCGGAUAUUCAGCUCCUGUCGCAUGGUGGGGGUUGGAAAGUUUUGGUGGUGGAGGAUGGGCUCGCGUCCUAUCAGCUUGUUGGUGGGGUGAUGGCCUACCAAGGCGUCGACGGGUAGCCGGCCUGAGAGGGCGACCGGCCACAUUGGGACUGAGAUACGGCCCAAACUCCUACGGGAGGCAGCAGUGGGGAAUAUUGCACAAUGGGCGGAAGCCUGAUGCAGCAACGCCGCGUGCGGGAUGACGGCCUUCGGGUUGUAAACCGCUUUCAGCAGGGACGAAGCGUGAGUGACGGUACCUGCAGAAGAAGCACCGGCUAACUACGUG
rnacentral:rRNA from 1 species